rnacentral:rRNA from 1 species
CUCCGGCGCCCGACCUCCCAACCCUUUGACGAACCUCAACCUCUGUCUGCCUCGGGGGCGACCCCGGUCCCUCGCGGCCCGCGGUCCCCCCGGCGGCGCGAUUCUCCAACCCUGCAUCAAUUGUCGUCGGAUAUUGAAGCGAAUUCAAUCAAAACUUUCAACAACGGAUCUCUUGGUUCUGGCAUCGAUGAAGAACGCAGCGAAAUGCGAUAAGUAGUGUGAAUUGCAGAAUUCAGUGAAUCAUCGAAUCUUUGAACGCACAUUGCGCCCCUUAGUAUUCCAUGGGGCAUGCCUGUCCAGCGUCAUUUGUACUCUCAAGCUAUGCUUGGUGUCGGGCACUCGCUCACUCACUCCUGCAGACAUGCCUUAAUUAUAUUGGCACCCAGCUUUUUGGUUUGAAAUGNGCACCACAUGCCUAAGCUAUUGAAUACAGGCAACCAUGAAGAAUAUCACUCUUUUGACCUCGGAUCAGGUAGGGAUACCCCUGAACUUAAGCAUAUCAAUAAGCGGAGGAAAAGAAACCAACAGGGAUUGCCCAUUCACGGCGAAG